rnacentral:lncRNA from 1 species
CCAGCAUCACAAUUGCAUCGACUCUUCUUCUGAGAAUAAUGAUGUUUUUUUUUUCUUUUCUUGCAUGGCAACUUUCAGGUUGCUUGUUCAAAAGUAUCCAAGCAUGCAUGCAUGCUUCCUGCCAUCCAAUUUCCUCCGCAAUGCUGUGAGUUUGUGGUGCCAUAGGCUCACGCCAAUCCUAUUCAAGGAUGGAGUUGCAGUCUUUCUCGAGAAGACUUCGCUGCCCAGAAGAUGGUGGAGAAUCCUUUGAUUUUUGGACGCCAUCGGCAAAAGACACCAAGCAUGCAGCAGCUUCAUAUAUAUACUUUUUUCUGUGCUGAUCUGUUUUUUUUUUCCGCCUCCUAACUUGCAGUUUUUUUUUACUUGCAGCACGCAAGUGAUAUAGAUUGGCAAAUUGAAGGAGAACCAGGAGUAAACACAAGAACCGCAUAUUGAUAUCCGCAAAGCUCUUCUACUUGUAUUACUGGAGACCUCUAUUCAACAUUCAAAUUGCAGAGGGCGUACGACACUACCAUUCACUAUCGAAUUGAACCGUAUGUCACAAUGUUCACUAUGUCGAUUUAAGAUUGUGUUGUUGGCGUCGAUGUCUAUCAUCCCAGAAAGAAGCAUGUGCUGCUAGCACUUUGGGACCAAUCCGUAUAUAAAACCAAGAGGCUUCGUGCAGUUAGCACCAAUUUUUCGCAUGUCAGAACUAGAACAAUUGUGCUACUGCUGAUACAGCUUGUAUAUGCCACAUCGAGGAGUUGUGCCAUUGGAACCAAAGUCCACCAUGACGAGUUGAAGCGUAUGACACAAUUUUACCAUCCUGAGUUGAAGCAUCGUGCCAAUGGCACCGUAGGCGCUGUAUCCUUUUUUCUUUCCUUUUCUUUUG